rnacentral:rRNA from 1 species
GACGAACGCUGGCGGCGUGCUUAACACAUGCAAGUCGAGCGGUAAGGCCCUUUCGGGGGUACACGAGCGGCGAACGGGUGAGUAACACGUGGGUGACCUGCCCUCAGCUCUGGGAUAAGCCUGGGAAACUGGGUCUAAUACCGGAUAUGACUCCAUGACGCAUGUUGUGGGGUGGAAAGCCUUGUGCGGCUGAGGAUGGGCCCGCGGCCUAUCAGCUUGUUGGUGGGGUGANGGCCUACCAAGGCGACGACGGGUAGCCGGCCUGAGAGGGCGACCGGCCACACUGGGACUGAGACACGGCCCAGACUCCUACGGGAGGCAGCAGUGGGGAAUCUUGCGCAAUGGGCGAAAGCCUGACGCAGCGACGCCGCGUGAGGGAUGACGG